ensembl:lncRNA
GCCUCAUUUAGCCAUUUCUAAACUAGGCUUUCUCGCCCGUGAAUAAAGUGUACACCGUCACAAAUAAAGACAAUGGCUCCACAAAAAGAAGAAAAAUAAAGAAAAUGCUCAUGAAAGUUCACAAUUUAUAUUAAAUCUGUUCGUAGUAAUUAAAACAAAUCACAGCGAAGCAAAAUCCUUAGAUGAACCCUUACGUUUGUCGUGUUCGUCCAGUGAAGCGCCUUCCCGCUAGCUUGCUGAACCGCUAAUUAAUACCACCUGCUAACGGCUGUAAUUAAAGCCUGCGCCAUUUUGAAUGUAUCUGUCUUUAUUUUAGGUUAGUGUCGUUCUUUUUGUAAAACAACAUGCUCUCCAGUGGGCAUACUGAUUACUUGUGAAAACACCUAUUCAUCCAAAAUGUUAAAAUGGCACCUCCAAGGCUAGUGGAUAAAGAUCAAUUAAUUACGAAAGUAAAAAACGCAAAGAGGACAUCUUGUGGAUGAGCAAGGAACUGCAGUGCAUCUAGCAUGAAUCGGCUGCUGCUGUGAGAAAAGCUACAGGAAAUGUCAGGAAACUUCCACCAUCUCAUGGAUUACUGACUACCUCACAGACAGGCUGCAGUAUGCUGAACAGAGCUCUGUGUGAUUUAGCUGAUGUGCAGUACAGGAGCUCCACAGGAAUCUGUGCUCUCUCCAUUCCCGUUCACCUGGUACACCUCAGACUUCCCUUAUAACUCCUGGUCAUGCUACCUACAGGCAGUACUCUGAUGAUUCUGCGGUGGUUGGAUGUAUUAGUGAUGGACGGGAGGAAUAAACUAUUUGUGGGGUGGUCUGUGAGGAAUCAUCUGUGAAGCAGUGACACCACCAGGAUGGUGAAGGACUUCAGAAGGAAGAGGUUGGCUGCACAAUCCAUUCCCCUCUCUGUUUGUCGUUUACAGGACAGGAUCUGGAUAUGGUGGAGGAGUACAACUGGAAGACCAGCACAGGCUGUAUAAACAGGGCAUGAGCAGGCUCUAUUUCCUACAAAAGCUGAGCUCCUUCAAUGUGCAACUGAGUGAUGGAGGUUUUCUAUCACUCAGUGUCCUUUGCUGUGGUCUGCUCAGGGAGCAGCAUCAGAGCUGGUGACACCAACAGUCUGAAUAAACUGAUUAGGAAGGCUGGCCCUCUGACUGGCUGCAAACUGGACACUUUUAUAGCUGUGAUGAAGACGAGGCAUCUAAAACACCAUCAUCCGUCAUGGAUAAUCCUGAAAAACCUCUGCAUGACUUACUGGACAGGCAGCAGAGCUCCUUCUCUAACAGACUGAUUCAGCUCUGCUGUCACAAAGAAACACAUGGGAAAUCUUUCACACCACACGUUAGCAUCCUUCAUAACACAAUAUAUCUGUCUGACAAAGAACCAUCUGCCAGAUUUUUUUCAACAGGUUAUUUGGUAAAUUCAAAAGAAUUUCCCAAAUAUGCCUCCUCUCACAAGCCUCCUCUCCAUCACAACUAUAAAAGUGUCCAAUUCAAAAGAUAUGGGAUAAACAAAGCAUUUCUCAUCUCAUCAUCAGUGGAAUAGUGAAAAUUUGGAAUACUCAAAUAAUGCUCAGACAGGCAAACACUGUAGGUUUUGUUAGGAGAAAAAAUGGUUACUCAGUGACUGAAAUGUUCAGUCCAAGUGUAUUUCCUGUACUCUUAGCAGCUGUCUCAGCCAAUGCGUGCAGCAACUUUGAAGCCAAACUGAAAGGGAC